UCCAUUUCUGCCUGUGCUCCUUCUCAUGCUCAGAUGGUGAAGUCGGGCCCAUUCGGAGCUAGGUCAGAAGGUGGAAGGACCCUCCCUUCACUAAUCGCCAGUGGUCUUGGCUAAGCCUUUGUCAGCUCUGGCCUACAGUUUCCUCGUCUGUAAAACGACCCCCAGAGACCCAGAUCUGAUUAGGUCCUACCCUCCCUCCUUAGAACGUCAGUCUGUCCCCUAGCUCUCAGGAUAACAAGCACAAUUCUUCCCAGGGCCACAAGGCCUGAGCUCUGAGCCGUGCCCACUACUUCUCACUUGUCCCCGUUAGCCAUCAGGUCGCCUGGCCUUCCUUGGGUCCCGCCUGCUCUCUAGUUCUCUCCCACAGGCCUUUGCACGUGCCAUUCCGCCCCUUUGCCGAGUCAUGCCUUUCAUCCUGGGGUCUCAGCCCUGCAUCCCGUCCUCUGGGAGAGACCAGCUCCUCUGUGGCACAGCCUCGUCUACAGCAGAUUGACAGGUGCUUCUGUGAUGAUCCGAUUAGCGUCUGGCUCUCAUUUGUCCGAGCCCAUCCAGGCACAUUGCUUUUCAUUGUUGUCUCCUCAGCCUCGUCUUGGCUGUGACAGUUUCUCACGUUUUCCUUGUUUCUGACGGAGUUUCCCUGCGAGGAGGCUGGAACAUUUGCUGUGGCAUAAAGAUAGUUAGAAAAUUAUGAAUGCAGCCGAAGCUGGAAGAGAAAGUCUGAGAGUGGCCAGGACAGGAGCAAUGUUGAAGUUCAGGGGCCCCGACCCUCCAGGGUUCUCCUCAGGGGACAGAAAGCCACAAAUCUAAGCAGGCUAGCUCCCCAGAGAAGCAGAGAGUGGGUGGCUGAACCCAUGGCUACCUCAGCCGAGGUCACUGCAUUCAGCGGCUCCUUAUUAUGCAGCAGUAUAAAGUGUCUGCUCUGUGGAUGUGCCGUUGUUAUUUUGUUCCUUGCAACAGAUGGGCUAGAGUUUCCCGCUUCUCACCUGACAUGGCUUAGCGGUAAACUGGUACAGUAAAUCCUCUCGUUUCAGGUGACUGGCUGGUGGAAAUCUAUUAUCUCUGUACCCAACCGUCGUUACAGACAAGGAAACCCAUGCAGGUGACAUCAUUUACCCGUGACCACACAGCCAGGUUCAAGAGCAGAUCCCAGAGGUGACUGGGGCCAAGGGGGCCAUAGGAACCCCCACCCCAGGAUUCUCCUGAGAAAGGGGCCCUUGAAGGCACCAUCAGCAUCAUUUACUGCAGCUGCGCCAUCUAGUGGUGAGGGCCUGGGGCAGUUUGUGCCACCGCGGCAGCCCCCAGGAACACCAAUCACCCAGAGAGUAAGAUGAUGGGCUGGCUCCAGUGCAAGCCUGGGGACAUCCAGGAGACCCCUUCAUGGUAUGCCCACAGUGAGCACUGGCCACCUACUCACCCUACCCCCAGUGGCCUGCCAUUUUCAUCAGGGGGCUGGAGAAGCGGUUUCAGGCAUUGACCUCUCUCAAGGCUAACUUACCUCACCUAUCAAAACAUAAAAACCGGAAAACCUGUAACACCUGUCAAGAGGAUGAAGAUGAGCUGCUCCCUUCAGAAGUGGAGGGGGAAGGAAGGCGCUACUGGAACUUGGGUCACCGCGUACACACAGGGGUCUGUCCCAGCCUGCCCACGGCUCGCCAGUCUUCCCAAUUGUGACACCUCCUCCCACCACCCCCUGGGCUCUCCAAGGCUGCCUUGCCCUGAGGCUGUGUGUGCUCUAGGCCAGAAGGAACCCGCUUUGAUGACAGGCUGAGCCCCAAAGGGCUGAGGAAGAUUCCUGAAGCGCCAGAAACCCUCCUCUACACUGUCAAGGAAGAGGCCUCAGAGGGAAAGCCUCCCCCAGCUGCACCACCUCAGGAAGCAGACCCCAGCUACCCCAGCGGGGAAGCCAGUCAGAUCAGAGCCACCUCUGACGCCCUCUAACACAUCCAUCAGCAAGUACUUUGAGCCUCCCAAAUGCAUCUCAAACAUUCUCUCUUUUUUUGUGCGGAAGAUUGGCCCUGAGCUAACACCUGUGUCCAUCUUCCUCUACUUUAUGUGAGACGCUGCCACAGCAUGGCUUGAUGAGCAAUGCUAGGUCCACGCCCGGGAUCCAAACCGGUAAACCCUGGGCUGCCAAAGCCAAGCGCACGAACUUAAGCACUACGCCAGUGGGCAGCCCCUCAGACACACUCUUCACUGCCACUGACGGUCUAACCAGUCCCCGUCUGGGCCAGCUGGGCUCCCUGCUGCUCCUCUUGCCUCCAACAGUCCCUCCUUGACAUGAGAGUCCUGGAUGCAGACCACAGCUCAGCCCCUCAGUGCUUCCUCCACCCUCCUCCUUUACCCCGACUCUCCUCCUCGCCCUUCCUGCAGCCAAGCUGGCCUUCCUGUCACUAGAUCCAUAGCCAGCUCUCGCAGCCCAGGGCCUUUCCCGAGCUUGCUGCAUGGCAGGCUCCUGCCUCGGCCCAAGCGUCCUCUCAGACCCCCUCCCUGGAGCCCCCUCAUCUCACAAGCAGUAUUCAAAGGCAGUGGUUUGGAAGGUGGGCUCUGGAGCCUGAUUGACCAACUGGGUUCAAAUCCAGACUCCACCACUUUUCCAGAUGUGUGACCUUGAGCAAGUUACUUGACCUCUCUGUGCCUCAGUUUCCCUAUAAGUUUGCUGUGACGACUAAAUGAAUUACUGUAGUCCCCUAAUGCCUGGGAUAUGGCAGGCACAAGAUACAUCGAAUAAAGAAAGAAAAAAUCAAGAGGAAGGGUUCUCUGUGCCGAGACCAAAUUUGGGGCAGUCUGUGUGCGAACAGCCAACCCCAGUGUUUCUCCCACAGGAGAAGACUCAGUUCUUCAAAAGAAGAGGGAUCUCCUAAGCACUCGUGGAGAUGGUCCUCAGGGCCCAGCCAGAGUCACUGCUGCCAUGGUUGCUUCCCAGGGGCCUGGACAAGCAAGAGAAAAGUCUGAACCACAGAGGACAAGGAGGAAAUUCUGCAUAGGAAUAGAAAUUAACUCAAGGGCUGCCUGCCAUCAGCCAGGUGCCCAGAGAGACACCCCCUCCUCCCUUCCUUCCCCUGUGCUGAGAAGGCAUGCCCAGGUUUUGGACCCACCCUGGCCUCCUUAGAGUCCUCUAAGAGAGGCCCAGAGACGCACAGAUGUUGGUGUUGCCGCAGCAACUGACCUAACCUUCCUCUGUUUCUGCUCAGGUUCCUAAGAGGCACAAGGAGGAAAACGGGCAACCACUGGCUCCACGGCCCAGCCAAGGCACCCAUGGAAGCCCCUUGUGCCCUGCCUUCAGCUCCUCCGCAGGCCGGGCCAUGCAGUUCUCGUCCAUGCGCCCAGGUCUCCCAGGGCCUGCUAUUAAUAUAGUGCAAAGAGGCCCAGCAGCUGGCCAUGGCAAAAUAUUUCCACACAGACGGUGACAACUGACAUCACACUGAUUUGGGCUCUGUAUGUUCCAAAUGUGCAUUCUUUUAGAGAGAGCAAGCUGAGAUUUGCCUCGUUGCUGGAAACGUGUCUGCUUUGCUUUGGGAAUUGGGGAAAUCUCCAAUGAGCAAUUUGGGGGCCUUUAAAAGGGGGCCCAAAAGAUGGGUGGUGGCUUUAGAGACUCCUGGGGCUCCCAGGAACAAAGGUCUACUCUCCCAGCAAGGGUCCCCUAGGUCUGUGCAGUCUUUAACUACACAACUGUGGGGAAGAGAAGAGAAUGCAGGGUCAGUGACCCUGACAGGCUCUCCUCAGGGCGAAGAAGGCAGCUUUAACAGACCCCAAAAGAACUCAGAAAGAGUGGCAGUGAAAUGAUAUUAUUUCUGGGAUUUGCUUUAAAAGACGCCAACGAAAAGGUGGGGGUGACAGAGGGAACGAGAGAGGCAGGGCUGAUGGCUCUGCAGCUGUGCUCAGGCCUGGGCCUCUUCACCUUGGUGUGCCUGGAAAUUUCCAUAACAACAAGUUUAAAAACAUACACGUGAAAAAAAUAUUCAACAAACGUUUGCUGAAGGCCUAGUAUGCGCUAGGAACUCUCCUGGGCACUUGUCGAUUUGUACAAAAGGAAGAGAGUAAGCAGCGCCCUGGCCCGAAACAGUAACGGCUCGGCCUGCCAACAGCAUCCUUUGGCGGCAGCACAGUGGGCCC
ensembl:lncRNA